GAUGAACGCUAGCGACAGGCUUAACACAUGCAAGUCGCGGGGCAGCAUGGGGGUUGCUUGCAAUCCCCGAUGGCGACCGGCGCACGGGUGAGUAACGCGUAUCCAACCUGCCCUUCACCACGGGAUAACCCGGCGAAAGUCGGACUACUACCGUAUGUUGUCCAUUGACGGUAUCCGAGUUGGACGCAGGGCUGGGCGGUGAGGGAGAGGGAUGCGUCCGAUUUGCGCGACGGCGGAGUGAAGGCCCAUCGCGGCGACGCUAGGGAGGGGUUCCGAGAGGAAGGCCCCCCGCAAUGGAACUGAGGCCCGGUCCACUCUGCUACGGGAGGGAGCAGAGAGGAAUAUUGGGCAAGGGGCGUAAGCCUGAACCAGCCAAGUAGCGUGCAGGAUGACGGCCCUAUGGGUUGUAAACUGCUUUUAUGCGGGGAUAAAGUGGCUAACGAGUGGGGUUUUGCAGGUACCGCAUGAAUAAGGACCGGCUAAUUCCGUG
rnacentral:rRNA from 1 species